AUGGAUGCACAGACACAUGUGUCUUCGGGUCAUGGAAUUUUUCCAGUGUUCAUAUGGGACCUUCAGGUUUCUGCCAGACUGUUUAUCUCACCCUUGGAUCCAGGCUGGCUGGGGCCAGAGGGACCGGUGUGUGUGUGUGUGUGUGUGUGUGGCGGGGAGGGGGCAGGUGUGUGUGUGUGUGUGUGUGGCGGGGAGGGGGCAGGGUGUGUGUGUGUGUGUGUGGCGGGAGGGGCAGGGGUGUGUGUGUGUGUGUGGCGGGAGGGGCAGGGUGUGUGUGUGUGUGGUGGGAGGCAGGGUGUGUGUGUGUGUGGUGGGGAGGGGGCAGGGGUGUGUGUGUGUGUGUGGUGGGGAGGGGGCAGGGUGUGUGUGUGUGUGUGUGUGUGUGGCGGGAGGCAGGCGAGGAGAGGGAGGAGGAGACAGCAGAGUUCACCAAGGCAGGGGUGUGUGUGUGUGUGUGUGUGUGUGUGUGUGUGGCGGGAGGGGCAGGCGAGGAGGGAGGAGGAGACAGCAGAGUUCACCAAGGCAGGGGUGUGUGUGUGUGUGUGUGUGUGGCGGGGAGGGGGCAGGCGAGGAGAGGGAGGAGGAGACAGCAGAGUUCACCAAGGCAGGGGUGUGUGUGUGUGUGUGUGUGUGUGUGUGUGGCGGGGAGGGGGCAGGCGAGGAGAGGGAGGAGGAGACAGCAGAGUUCACCAAGGCAGGGUGUGUGUGUGUGUGUGUGUGUGUGUGUGUGUGUGUGGCGGGAGGGGCAGGAGAGGGAGGAGGAGACAGCAGAGUUCACCAAGGCAGGUGUGUGUGUGUGUGUGUGUGUGUGUGUGGCGGGAGGGGCAGGCGAGGAGAGGGAGGAGGAGACAGCAGAGUUCACCAAGGCAGGGUGUGUGUGUGUGUGUGUGUGUGUGUGUGGCGGGAGGGGCAGGCGAGAGAGGGAGGAGGAGACAGCAGAGUUCACCAAGGCAGUGUGUGUGUGUGUGUGUGUGUGUGUGUGUGGGGAGGGGCAGGCGAGGAGAGGGAGGAGGAGACAGCAGAGUUCACCAAGGCAGGGGUGUGUGUGUGUGUGUGUGUGUGUGUGUGUGUGUGUGUGGCGGGGAGGGGGCAGGCGAGGAGAGGGAGGAGGAGACAGCAGAGUUCACCAAGGCAGGGUGUGUGUGUGUGUGUGUGUGUGUGGCGGGAGGGGCAGGAGGAGAGGGAGGAGGAGACAGCAGAGUUCACCAAGGCAGGUGUGUGUGUGUGUGUGUGUGUGUGUGUGUGGCGGGAGGGGCAGGCGAGGAGAGGAGGAGGAGACAGCAGAGUUCACCAAGGCAGGGGUGUGUGUGUGUGUGUGUGUGUGUGUGUGUGUGUGUGGCGGGGAGGGGGCAGGCGAGGAGAGGGAGGAGGAGACAGCAGAGUUCACCAAGGCCGACGGGAAGGAAACAGAUCUGCUCUAAGGUGCCGGCCACGGACGCACGGUGUGGUCAUAGUGACCUCUUGUGGCUGGAGCUGAGAACAGCGUCUUCCUCAGCUCUUCGAGGCUCUCUGGUCCCACUGGCGACAGAACUGUGGUUGAGUCUCAGUGGAGAUGGACUGUAAGCAUAACAUACACACAGGAUUUUGAAUCCUUAGUAUAAAAAAAAAAAGGUUAAAUUUCUCAAGGUUUAGGGAUUAGAUUUUAUAUAGUGCCUGAAGAACUACGGAUGGAGGUUCGUGACAUUGUACAGGAGGCAGGGAUCAAGACCAUCCCCAAGAAAAAGAAAUGUAAAAAGUCAAAAUGGUUGUCUGAGGAGGCCUUACAAAUAGCUGUGAAGAGAAGCUAAAGGCACAGGAGAAAAGGAAACAUAUACCCAUUUGAAUGCAGAGUUCCAAAGAACAGCAAGGAGAGAUAAGAAAGCCUUCCUCAGUGAUCAAUGCAAAGAAACAGAUGAAAACAACAGAAUGGGAAAGACUAGAGAGCUCUUCAAGAAAAUUGGAGAUACCAAGGAAACAUUUCAUGCAAAGAUGGGUACAAUAAAGGACAGAAAUGGUGUGGACCUAACAGAAGCAGAGGAUAUUAAGAAGAGGUGGCAAGAAUACACAGAAGAACUAUACAAAAAAGAUCUUCAAGACCCAGAUAAUCACAAUGGUAUGAUUACUCACCUAGAGCCAGACAUCCUGGAAUGCGAAGUCAAGUGGGCCUUAGGAACUAUCGCUACGAACAGAGCUAGUGGAGGUGAUGGAAUUCCAGUUGAGUUAUUUCGAAUUUUGUAAAAGUGCUGCACUCAAUAUGCCAGCAAAUUUGGAAAACUCAACAGUGGCCACAGGACUGGAAAAGGUCAGUUUCCAUUCAAAUCCCAAAGAAAGGCAAUACCAAAGAAUGCUCAAAUUACGGCACAAUUGCACUCAUUUCACACGCUAGUAAAGUAACACUCAGAAUUCUCCCAGCCAGGUGAACUUCCAGAUAUCAAGCUGGAUUUAGAAAAGGAAGAGGAACCAGAGAUCAAAUUGCCAACAUCCGUUGGAUCAUCAACAAAGCAAGAGAGUUCCAGAAAAACAUUGACUUCUGCUUUAUUGACUAUGCCAAAGCCUUUGACUGUGUGGAUCACAACAAACUGGAAAAUUCUUCAAGAGAAGGGAAUACCAGACCACCUGAUCUGCCUCCUGAGAAAUCUGUGUGCAGGUCAGGAAGCAACAGUUAGAACUGGACAUAGAAAAACAGACUGGUUCCAAAUAGGAAAAGGAGUACCUCAAGGCUGUAUAUUGUCACCCUGCUUAUUUAACUUAUAUGCAGAGUACAUCAUGAGAAACGCUGGGCUGGAAGAAGCAAAAGCUGGAAUCAAGAUUGCUGGGAGAAAUAUCAGUAACCUCAGAUAUGCAGAUGACACCAACCUUUAUGGCAGAAAGAGAAGAAGAACUAAAGAGCCUCUUGAUGAAAGUGAAAGAGGAGAGUGAAAAAGUUGGUUUAAAACUUAACAUUCAGAAAAGUAAGAUCAUGGCAUCUGGUCCUGUCAGGAAGCAUUGAACAGGAGGCUUCCUGUGUGUUGUUUUGGACCUGUCAGGAAUUCUCUGUUCCUUAUUAAUUCCUGAAUAUUCAGGAAUUGGGUGGGGGGGGGGCUAGGGAAUCCAGGCAUUUCCUUCGUUAGUUUUUCUAUACGGUGAUAAGUACACUCUUCCUUUUUAUGAACCAUAUGGUAAAAGUGAUUAUUUACAACUCUCUCUCUCCUUAAUAAGGAUUGCCUAUGUUUUGUAAGUCUGGAAUUUUAAUCUUUAUCUUUGCUGAGAAUAACUACAGUACAUAUGCCCACACCAUGUUGAUUAAAACACAUUUGCUCCAUCAGAACUCUGGUCCCCAUGUCUUUCUUUCUCUCACUCUCUCUCUCUCUCUCUCUCUCUCUCUCUCAGGCUGAUCCCCUGGAGCACAGAGGCUCUCUGAGUUCACUUUCCUGCCCGGGCUUCUGAGACCCUCUUGAGAAGGCGCUCUGUGCCUUCACCCCAUUGAGAGGGCGCCUGAGGCCUCCAUGAACAAUAAAGCCCCGUGCAGGGGCUUUAUUGGCUUUCUGCGUAAACCAAGGAAUAUCAGCCUUUUUCUUUCUCCUUUACUUUCUUAUCGGUUGACUCCGGACCACCAGGUUCCAGUCCAUUAAAGGACCUCAACAUGGUCCCAUCACUUUAUGGCAAAUAGAUGGGGAAACAGUGGCAGACUUUAUUUUUAGGGGCUCCAAAAUCACUGCAGAUGGUAACUGCAGCCAUGAAAUUGAAAGAUGCUUGCUCCUUGGAAGAAAAGUUAUGACUCACCUAGACAGCAUAUUAAAAAGCAGAGACACUCCUUUGCCAACAAAGGUCCGUCUAGUCAAGGCUAUGGUUUUUCUAGUAGUCAUGAAUGGAUGUGAGAGUUGGACCAUAAAGAAAGCUGAGCACCGAAGAAUUAAUGCUUUGGAACUGUGGUGUUGGAGAAGAAUCUUGAGAGUCCCUUGGACAGUCCUUCCCUUCAUUGGAAGGACUGAUGCUGAAGGUUAAACUUCAAUACUUUGGCCACCUAAUGUGAAAAACUGACUCAUCUGAAAAGACCCUAAUGAUGGGAGGAGAAGGGGACGACAGAGGAUGAGAUGGUUGGAUGGCAUCACAGACUCUGGAAGCUGGUGAUGGACAGGGACGUCUGGCCUAUUGCAGUCCAUGGGGUCGCAAAGAGUCGGACAUGAUUGAGUGACUGAACUGACACAUUAACAUAGUAAUAUUUUGGAUAUCUGUUGUUGUUGUUCAGUUGCUAAGUCGUGUCUGACUCUUUGUGACCGCAUGGACUGCAUCACAUCAGGCCUCCCUGUCCAUCACCAUCUCCCAGACUUUGCUCAAACUCAUGUCCAUUGAGUUGGUGAUGCCAUCCAACCAUCUCAUCCUCUGUCACCCCCCUUCUCCUCCUGCCCUCAAUCUUUUCCAGCCUCAGGGUCUUUUCCAGUGAGUCAGCUCUUUACAUCAUGUGGGCAUAGUAUUGGAGCUUCAGCUUCAGCACCAGACCAUCCAAUGAAUAUUCAGGACUGAUUUCCUUUAGGAUGGGCUGGUUUGAUCUUGCAGUCCAAGGGACUCUCAAGAGUCUCCAACACCACAGUUCAAAAAUAUCAGUUCUUCAGUGCUCAGCCUUCUUUAUGGUCCAACUCUCACAUCCAUACAUGACCACUGGAAAAACCAUAGUUUUGACUCUAUGGACCUAUGUCAACAAAGUGAUGUCUCUACUUUUUUUUUUUUGACAAAGUCAUGUCUCUGCUUUUUAAUAUACUGUCUAGAUUGGUCAUAACUUUUCUUCCAAGAAGUAAGCGUCCUUUAUUUUCAUGGCUGCAGUCACCAUUUGCAGCGAUUUUGGAGCCCCCCAAAAUAAAGUCUGCCACUGUUUCCCCAUCUAUUUGCCAUGAAGUGGAGGGACCGAAUGCCAUGAUAUUACUUUUCUGAAUGUUGAGUUUUUUUUUUUUUUUCUCAUUUUACUGUGCUUUGCUUUAGUGAACUUUAUAGAUACAUGUUUUUUUUGUUUGUUUUUUUUUCCUUGUUAAUUUUCUGUUUAGUUGAUCUAUCCAUAGGUGUGAGUGGGGUAUUAAAGUCUCCCACUAUUAUUGUGUUAUUGUUAAUUUCUCCUUUCAUACUUGUUAGCAUUUGUCUUACAUAUCAUGUGUGCUCCCAUGUUGGGUGGAUAUAUAUUUAUAAUUGUUAUAUCUUCUUCUUGGAUUGAUCCUUUGAUCAUUAUGUAGUGGCCUUCUUUGUCUCUUUUCACAGCCUUUGUUUUACAGUCUAAUUUAUCUGAUACGAGUAUUGUGACUCCUGCUUUCUUUUGGUCCCAAUUUGCAUGGAAAAUCUUUUUCCCGCCCUUCACUUUCAGUCUGUAUGUGUCCCCUGUUUUGAGGUGGGUCUCCUGUAGACAACAUAUGUAGGGGUCUUGUUUUUGUAUCCAUUCAGCCAGUCUUUGUCUUUUGGUUGGGGCAUUCAACCCAUUUACGCUUAAGGUAAUUACUGAUAAGUAUGAUCCCGUUGCCAUUUACUUUAUUGUUUUGGGUUCGAGUUUAUACACCAUUUUGUGUUUCCUGUCUAGAGAAUAUCCUUUAGUAUUUGUUGGAGAGCUGGUUUGGUGGUGCAGAAUUCUCUCAGCUUUUGCUUGUCUGAAAAGCUUUUGAUUUCUCCUUCAUACUUGAAUGAGAUCCUUGCUGGGUACAAUAAUCUGGGCUGUAGGUUAUUUUCUUUCAUCAUUUUAAGUAUGUCUUGCCAUU
rnacentral:lncRNA from 1 species